GCCACAGGGCGACUCCAUUUCAAAAAAAAAGAAAGAAAAAGGAAAGAAAUUUAAAACCUGUAUAUUUCAAUUAUCUAUUGCUACAUGACAAAUCAUCCCAAAACUUAGUGGCUUAAAACAAAAAUGGUUUAUUUUUUCAAUUAUGUAGAUUGACUGGAGAUUCUUCUGCAGAUCUUCCCUGGGCUCUCAAGUGCAGAUGCAGGCAGAGGGAGCUCAACUGAAGUUGGGACACCCAAGAGCGUCUUGCUCAAUUGGUAAUUGGUGCUAGCUAUUGGCUGGAAAGCCUUGGCUCUGCUCCACAUGACUUCUCAUAUGCCAGGAGGAUACACUGGACUUCUUUAUAACAUGGUGGACUCAGCAUCUCAGGAGGGUGAGAGUUGAAGCUUGCAAAACCUUUUGAGGUCUCAUUUCCAGAACUCCUGCAAUGUCUCUACUACAAUAUUCUGUUAGUCAAUGUAAGUCACAGGAUCAUCCCAAUUUCAAGAGGGUGGACCAGUAGACCACAUCUUGAUGAGAGAGGCAGCAAUGUCAUGUUGCAAAAGGAUGUGGACAAAGGGAAGCAUGAUUCAUGGGUGGCCCUUAUUAUAAUUCUCCAUAUUAUUUUUGCCUGGAAAUGGCAUAUGAUAUAGUGGUUAAGAGUACAGUCUUUGAAUUCAAAUAGUCUAGUUUCAAAUCUUGCCAGUCACAUUUACUAGCCUUAUCAUGCUGGGCAAGGGGCUUAAAUCACUCUUUGCCUGUCUCCUCAUGGGUAAAUUGAGGAGGAUAUUAAUAGUGACCUCCUCAUAGGGUGGCUAUGAUAAUUAAGGGUGAUCAGUCAUCAAAGCCCUGGCACAGAGUGAAUGUGUCCUAAAAGCUCUCUGCUCUUCGUACUGAUCCUGCUUUUCUGCAGGAGGUGAGGGAGCCACUUCAUCCCUCAACUAAGGGCAACAACUUUUGUCUCCCUCCUUCUCCACAUCAGCAUCAGUUACCCUAACUGUGACCACUUAAGGGUUUGAACAUGGAGUCCCUUAACCUUCUGUUGUAGACUCCGUGGGUUAAAGUUCAGUUGAACUGAUUAUCAUUUUGCUCAUUCACAUACACAGCAUCUCUUCAGUGAAAGGCCCAGUUUUGGGCACCGAUCUUAAAACAAGGAAUGUGACUUACAGCCUCAGUGGGAGGAGUGUGCUUCUGGCAUGAAUGGCCCCUGUUGUGCCUUGGUAGGCCCUGGCUCCUGAAUGCCUAGUUGAGCAUGGUUCCAGGUGAGAGCAGCCCUCCACACCUGGGAACCCAACCCCACCUACAUACAGCAUGCCACCACUUCCUGGUCUUUUCUCCUAUCUGGGCUUAUGGAACUGAGGGCUAGAGGGGACCUCAGCCCUCAGUUGCUGAGGUCGCUGCUGUGGUCCAAUCUGCUGUUAAGUGCCUGAGGUGCACAGACUCCCUAGGUCAAGACUUACCUGUGACUUGACCUGUGACUUGACCAUAUGUUCUCUGGAAUAUAUGACCUAAGCUUUCUCCAAGGCAAUUAAACCAUACUCAGCAGUGUGUCUCAAGGCUUUGGAGUCAGGAAGACAUGGGUUCAAAUCCCUAUGUUGACACCUAUAGCAUCAUGACUUAGGGCAAGCGGAUAUCCUCACUGAGCCUCUCAGUUGUUUCCUCUGUAAAAUGGGAUAGUCUUUUUUUUCCUUUGCAGGGUUGCUGUCAAGAUUAGAAGUAAGUAUAUAAAGCACAGAGUAUGAAUAUGAGGAGGAUUAAAUUACAUAAUUUGCACAAAGUGUCCAAGAAUGCAUGUAAAUAGUAAGCCCUCAAGGAAAUGUUACUUCGCUUUCAGUAUCAUGGUGAAUCUAAGCCUGAGGAUUUUCAUUAAUUAAUUAAUUCAUUCAUUCAACAAACCACUGCCAAUCCUGUGGGAAAUGAAAAAUGUAUAUCGAGUUCCAAACUGUUUGCUCCAUGAAGAUAGGGGUCCUGCUUUUUGUCCCUCACUCUUUAGAAAGUUCUAGUACAAUGCCUGGAACACAGUAAGUACAGAAUAAAUGUCUGUUAAAGAAAAGAUAACAUAGUCUCUGCCAUAACUAAGUUCGAUUUUUUUUUUUUUUGAGACCAAGUCUCGCUCUGUCGCCAAGGCUGGAGUGCAGUGGCGCAAUCUCAGCUCACUGCAAGCUCCGCCUCCUGGGUUCUUGCCAUUCUCCUGCCUCAGCCUCCUGAGUAGCUGGGACUACAGGCGCCCACCACCACACCUGGCUAAUUUUUUGUAUUUUUAGUAGAGACGGGGUUUCACCGUGUUAGCUAGGAUGGUCUUGAUCUCCUGACCUCGUCAUCUGCCCGCCUUGGCCUCCCAAAGUGCUGGGAUUACAGUCGUGAGCCACCACACCCGGCCCUAAGUUUGGAUUUGAAGAAAAGAUGAGGAAUAUACACAAAUAACUAUAAUUUCUGAUGGAUUGAUUCAAGUGAUCAGAGAGGUACAAGAGUUAUGGAAGCAAUUAUGCCCUACUAGGGGCUGAGACAAAGCUUCAAAGGAGAGAUGCAUUUACAAUGAGCUUAGAGAAAUGGAUGGGGCCUCAAAGUGCAAUAUGGUAAGAAGAUUGAGAAUAGAGGGAGCAAAGCUUAACCCAUGGCUGAAAAUGAAGCUGAAAAUCAGAAAUGAAACUCUAAGUGUCUCUUUCUCUGUCUGCAUGUUUAUAUGUCUGUAAUUCAGAGAUGCCUCAAAAACCUCUCAUUAUGCGAGUAUGUAGUAUUUUCCUACCUCUGGCAGUAUUACCCAAAUUAAAUUAUAAAAUUCCUUAAAGGAGCUGAUUGUACUCUGAUUGAAUUUAAGAUGAGUAAGCUCAUAUAUAAAUAAAACAUUCCUAACAUGCUCUGAAACAAAGGAAAAUGAGCCUUGAAUAUUUUCAAUGUGAAAAAAUAGGUAUUCUUAUAGAAACUAACUCAAAAACUUUUUUUUAGUUAUGUUUAUAUGAUGUAGGUAAAUCUUAGGCAAACAAAACUAGUUGAAUAAUUUUAGUUUAAUAAAAACAGCUUUGUUUUCUCUGAGUUAGAAUUAAGUAUAAGUAUACAUUUGUAUUCUACUUGAGUAAGGUUUUCCUAAAUUUAUCUAGGUUUACUGAUAAAAUAAGCUAGCAUUACUCCUACUAAAUAUUUAAGAUUUAUGAAAAAUAUAAAUUUGUAUUUAACCACAUCAAAUCAUUAUUCUGACAAACUUUAUGUCAACUGUAAUUAUGAUUUUUAGUGUUUAGCUAGAAGAUAAUUUCCAAGAUGUUUAGGUAACUUAAAACCUUGGACUAACACUAAAUUAAUGAAUGGAUGUUUAAUAGAUACAUAGAUCAUUUAUAAAAAGAAUACUGAAAGAAUGUUACUAAGUAUAAUUUAACUUUAUAUACGUUUGCCUCUUAUUUUUAUACACUGAAGAGAAGCUAUAUAUGUUUGGAUUGUUAACAAAUGUGCUUAUUUCUUGCCACUUUGAAAAUUAUGCUAUAAAGGACAUGUAAUAAGUAUAGAAUGCUGUGGAAGGGUUGUGAAAAGGAGAUUUUAUUUAUCAUGGCCAAAGCUGGCUAAGGUUUGAUCAGUUUAUUUAUGAGAUUUUCAUGGUCUUUGAGCUAUUUUUACACCUCUCUGUAAAUUGUAGGUGAUGGAUAUGCGAACUUUGUCUUUUCUGGUAGAGAUUAACUGACUUCCUACCUCCCUGUGGAAAACCCGGGUUGGUACCUACUUGCAAGUUGGACUGAAUCCUGUUACCUUGCCCAAAUUUUCACUUCUUCCAGAUUCCUUCGAUAUGUGGCUACAACUUUCCAAAUUAACUUUUUUGGUUUAUCGCCCGCUGCCCCAAUGGCAUUCCUGAGGACCAAAACCCCUCUAUGUCCCUAUUGGGACCUUAGGUUGCCAUGCAGUUGGCCAUUUUUCCUAGGAUUUGACAAAGGCCUGCAAACCGAAGCUGGACAACUUGAUAUAAAUCUGGAAGGACUCACCAUCACUGCAGACCAUGCAUGAGAAGGAAUGAUGUUCCUUGUGCCCAGGAAGCUAGGGAGACGUAUGAGAAGAAAGGAUGGCCUGUUAUGUGUAGGCAAGUAUGCCUUUAGAGAGCCUCCCAGUUUCCUGCCUGUAACUCAGUGCACCACUGAACUUGCUGAAUCAUUCCUGAGAGAUCAAAACUGGCACAGAUGUAGGAAUGAAACCCACAGGCUCUAAAGGAGAUUUCAGAUAUGAAUGGAGAAUAAUUUAGAAACCUGAGUGGGCAGGCAAUUGAGGGCCCAAAGAACCACUGGACAUCUCAACAGAUUCCAGCUCAGGGACAUAAACUCAUAGAUCAAAUGCACUAUCGACUCUCACUUAACACUUAGAAGCACCUCUUGGGAAAAGCAGACAUGACCAAAUGGACAUGCUCUGUUUUAGCUCUGUUUUGACUUACCACCAGAUAGGAUGAUAGCUCAAAACAGAAAUUACAUACAGUUAUAGAAAAGAAAGAUAUUUGUAGAUUAUUUGAACCCAUUAUACAUGUUAAGUCGCUACCCUUCAAUUGGAUGCAAAAGCAAAACACAAUACAACCCCAAAUCUUUACACUACAGUGAUCAAGGCUGGGGGAUGUAAGAGAUACAGCAAUCAGUGUGCAGAGUGAGAACAGAAUUGCCUGGGCUUGAGGCUCUAGUGACCUAAUGUGAGCCUGUGUUGGUAGAGUCCUGGUGGCCACAGCUAGUGCAGUUCUGACUCUGGGGAGAGGUCAGGUGACCUGACCUUGACCUUCACGUUUAUGACAAUUUGAGAUGUCACAUCAAUUUUUCUAACUGGGAAGCAGAAAAGUGAUACAGGGCUGUAUUAGUGCAAUCUUUCUCAUGCAAUAUGAAAAUAAGCAAGAAUUCGGGAAAAGUUUUGUUACUUGUGACUUAUUUCUUGUGUAUGAGACCACACUGCUUCAGAGUGAAGCCUUCCUGUUUCUCACUAUAUCUUCCAACCUAUCCGUUUCCUUCUUCUUUCAUGAAAUACUUUUGGGUACUUCCCUAGCAUCUCAAGGGAUCAUCUGGAAGGAAAUUCCCAGCCCCCCCCCUUUUUUUUUUUUCUGUGUGAGGGAGUGGGGGCAGGUGAGGAGGAGGGACACAGGGACACAGCUGGCUAUUGGUCAAAGUUAAAACCAACAUUCCUGACAGUGGAGUUCUGAGCUCUGCACAAGCUCUUCAGGAUGUGUUCCUGGACUAAGUGCCAAGGACUACUCCUGGGACUAAGAAAACUCCAGUGGGCUGUCCUCAUCACAUCAGACUCCCAUGGAUGUCAUGUAUCUUAUCUAAAGCCAGAGCAAGGCACAUGGGAUCAGGACCCACAGAGGCACGAAGGACACUUCCAUCCCUUCCUCUCCCUCUUCUCCAACAGUCCACACCAAGUCCCACUUGAAGGAAAAGACAUACCAGAUGACUGGGGUAUUCAAAAGAGGUUUAGAUCGUAGGAGAAGGUAACUCAGCCUCCUCCAACUUAGAAAAUGUCUACAGAAAGCCUGACAAGGGAGAAAGAACCAAAAGAAGGCCAGAAAGAUACCUAAUGGAUUCUUCUUUCUCCAUAGUGACCUGAUGGAGACAGCCAUUCCACUCAGCCUCAUCCAAGGACAUGGGGACACAACAAGGGACCUCACGAGAUCGCUUUACAGACCAGUGAGAUACAAAGUCCUCUUCCAAAACCCUUCAGGUCACUUAGACACAGAAUCUAUACCAAAGUCCCCACAAUUCAGACCCCUAAUCUCCUUUCCCAGCGGCCUCUGGUCUUUCCACCAAAGGAUAUUUCAAAAAGUGUACCCAUAACUCUCUCCAAACUCCAUGAGGGAGGGUUUUGAAGAUGGCUUUCUAGAGUGCUGGUCUUCAAACUGAGCUCCUUCAGUCUCUAGAGGUCACAAGAGAAACCUCAGUGUCUCCACGUAAGCAAUGGGGAGGCCAAACGGGAUGGAUAGGCUCCUGAUCCCCAGUCCCAAGUCAACCACAGCAGUCUAUCUGUUUUAUAUUUUGGGCUUUUGGGUAAAAUUUUAUCUGCAAAAAGCCUCCAAUGCCAGAAAAACUAUUUUUAAACCUUUGAGCUGGAGGAUGCAUCUCAGUAUCCCUAUUGCAUCCUCACACUCAGGCAGACUUUGAGGGAGGUGGUACAUGGCAGAGGGUGGGAAUGGGCACUGGGCACACAAGUUCCAGGUACCUCACUAACAUUAUUAAAGGUCCGGAUAAGGAUAUAGCCUGUCUCAGUUUAUAGCAACUAUGAAGAAAUGGUUGUCUUGAUAAAAAAAAUUUACUGUUACCUUCUCCCAGUAAAAUAAAACUCAGACCUUCCAAAAUUUGGCCUGGAAGGAGAAUCUCCAGGUAAAGAAUGUGAAUUAGACCUAGAAACACUUUUUUCUGUUCCUCUGGGUUCCAUGUAUCAUUUUCCUCUUUGGAUUUUCUCAAUUGCUCAGUGUUUCUACUCUGCAGCAUUCCCCCACUAUGCCUGACAGGAGAAGUGCUGUUCCUCAGCAUCUAUCUGUCUUCAAACAUCUUUCCAUUUCCUCCUAAAAUGGCAACAAGUCACCUCCACAGAUUCCUCAGCUGAGAUAAGAUUGGAAUUUUCAAGAAACAAUUACAUAUUAAGGGGAAGUAAAAUGGAGGGGGAGUACAAAUCAUUUAAAUGAUGCAACUUUCAAGCACAUGGCUCUGAUCCACCUGAACUUUCAAGCAUGGGAGUCUUAUUCCACCUGAACUGAAUUAUUCCCCAGGGAUUUCACCCCUUCUCAUUUCAUGUGGGAUCCAUGAGUGGCUGUAAGCUAGCUAUCCAAAGGGCCAGAUCACCUCCAGAGCCUUUGCUUAAGCCCUCACUUCAAAACUCCCAUCCUGUUGCCACCCCCGCCCCCAGGAACUUGACUCUUUCCAUGGACAAAACCAAAAAUCAGUCAUCUCUUCUUCCUACCUAAGGUUGGUCCGGAGGCACAUUUCUUCUGCAGGGAUUGGCAAGGAAGAUUUCAGUCUUCAAGGUCUGUUGCUGGGCCUGGGCAAUGGAUGCGUUUUUCAGUAAUAAAGAGAAGAAUUUGAAGUUCCAACAGAUGAUUCAGGAAAUGAGGAAAGAUGACUAGGGGGUGGGUGCUACAUAAAGAAGGAAUUUGAAGACAGCAGGAAUAUCUCAAAAUGGACUUUGGCAUGACUGUUAUAAAUUCUUCCUCUAACUCCUCUACAGAAUCUUUAAUAAAGUCUACAAUGCUCUUUUGUA